AUAUGUCUUCGGAUAUAGAGACCGGCGCACGGGUGCGUAACGCGUAUGCAAUCUACCUUUUACAGAGGGAUAGCCCAGAGAAAUUUGGAUUAAUACCUCAUAGUAUAGCUCUACCGCAUGGUAGUACUAUUAAAGUCACAACGGUAAAAGAUGAGCAUGCGUCCCAUUAGCUAGUUGGUAAGGUAACGGCUUACCAAGGCAACGAUGGGUAGGGGUCCUGAGAGGGAGAUCCCCCACACUGGUACUGAGACACGGACCAGACUCCUACGGGAGGCAGCAGUGAGGAAUAUUGGACAAUGGGCGCAAGCCUGAUCCAGCCAUGCCGCGUGCAGGAUGACGGUCCUAUGGAUUGUAAACUGCUUUUGUACGAGAAGAAACACUGCUUCGUGAAGCAGCUUGACGGUAUCGUAAGAAUAAGGAUCGGCUAACUCCGUGCCAGCAGCCGCGGUAAUACGGAGGAUCCAAGCGUUAUCCGGAAUCAUUGGGUUUAAAGGGUCCGUAGGCGGUUUAGUAAGUCAGUGGUGAAAGCCCAUCGCUCAACGGUGGAACGGCCAUUGAUACUGCUGAACUUGAAUUAUUAGGAAGUAACUAGAAUAUGUAGUGUAGCGGUGAAAUGCUUAGAGAUUACAUGGAAUACCAAUUGCGAAGGCAGGUUACUACUAAUUGAUUGACGCUGAUG
rnacentral:rRNA from 1 species